rnacentral:rRNA from 1 species
UACGGAGGAUGCAAGCGUUAUCCGGAAUGAUUGGGCGUAAAGCGUCCGCAGGUGGCUGUGUAAGUCUGCUGUUAAAGAGUGAGGCUCAACCUCAUAAAAGCAGUGGAAACUACACAGCUAGAGUGCGUUCGGGGCAGAGGGAAUUCCUGGUGUAGCGGUGAAAUGCGUAGAGAUCAGGAAGAACACCGGUGGCGAAGGCGCUCUGCUAGGCCGCAACUGACACUGAGGGACGAAAGUGUGGGGAUCAAACAGG